rnacentral:rRNA from 1 species
UACGUAGGGUGCGAGCGUUGUCCGGAAUUAUUGGGCGUAAAGGGCUCGUAGGCGGUCUGUCGCGUCGGGAGUGAAAACUCAGGGCUUAACCCUGAGCCUGCUUCCGAUACGGGCAGACUAGAGGUAUGCAGGGGAGAACGGAAUUCCUGGUGUAGCGGUGGAAUGCGCAGAUAUCAGGAGGAACACCGGUGGCGGAGGCGGUUCUCUGGGCAUUACCUGACGCUGAGGAGCGAAAGUGUGGGGAGCAAACGGG